UCCAUGAUCCAGCUGAACCAAAACGUGCCAUCAUGCCUCUUGCAUUUUCAAUUGGCAACUUGCUGCAAUAUUUAGAGUUUCGGUAUCAGUUUGAUUUGCAUAAUGCCAAGUGUACUUCCAAUCCAUGUUUCUGAACAAACAUUGACCAGUUCUAUCUAAAGAACAAACCUCAUGAAGACCACAAGGAAAUUGGGUCCAACGUGUCAGGACCAUUCUGCCUGAGAUUGUGCAGUGAGUUAUCAAUUGUAAUGGUCAUUAGGAAAUCCAAUUUAAAAGUAUGAACUGGGUCCUCAGAUUGUUCAUGCACAUUGCAAUUGUAUCUGAUAAUCUGAAUGACCGGAUUAAACAUUUUCAGCAGUCCAUACUACUUGCUCGACAGCAUCAUAUCACUUCUUCAUUUGGCAGUCUGGAUCACUGGCAUCUCAUGUGAACUCCAUUUCGUUGCUUCUUACAUGGACCUACAAGAUUGCAACUAGGCAUCUAGCUGACAAUAUGAUAGGCAUGUUCUUGGACCAGAGCUCAGAAUAUGUAGUGCUGAGCAUUGUGUAGUUUUGAUUAGAUCUCUUUGGGGACAUCUGUCCGGCACUUGUUGGAGCCACUAGUCACAAUGCUUGGGCCACUAGGAUAUCACAAUGUGCAGCCAUACUGCCGUGCAUCAUGGAUCAUGAGGACCACAUGUUAUAUCAGGUCUAGUUUGUCAGAAGCAGUUCUUCCAGCGAUCAUGCAACGAAAAGAAC
rnacentral:lncRNA from 1 species